AUUGAACGCUGGCGGCAUGCCUUACACAUGCAAGUCGAACGGUAACGGGCCUUCGGGUGCCGACGAGUGGCGAACGGGUGAGUAAUGUAUCGGAACGUACCUUUCAGUGGGGGAUAACGUAGCGAAAGUUACGCUAAUACCGCAUAUUCUGUGAGCAGGAAAGCAGGGGAUCGCAAGACCUUGCGCUGAUUGAGCGGCCGAUAUCAGAUUAGCUAGUUAGUGAGGUAAAGGCUCACCAAGGCGACGAACUGUAGCGGGUCGGAGAGGAUGAUCAGCCAACCGAGAACUAGACCACAGUCCAGAUUCCCACGGGAGGCAGCAGUGGGGAAUGUUGGACAAUGGGGGCAACCCUAAUCCAGCCAUGCCGCGUGAGUGAAGACGGCCUUCGGGUUUUAAAGCGCUUUCGGCCGGGAAGAAAUCGUAUCAGCUAAUACCUGGUGCGGAUGACGGUACGGGCAUAAGAAGCACCGGCUAACUACGUGCCAGCCGCCGCCGUAAAAC
rnacentral:rRNA from 1 species